rnacentral:rRNA from 1 species
UACGUAGGGUGCAAGCGUUGUCCGGAAUUAUUGGGCGUAAAGAGCUUGUAGGCGGUUUGUCGCGUCUGCUGUGAAAUUUCGGGGCUCAACCCCCGAACUUGCAGUGGGUACGGGCAGACUAGAGUGUGGUAGGGGAGACUGGAAUUCCUGGUGUAGCGGUGAAAUGCGCAGAUAUCAGGAGGAACACCAAUGGCGAAGGCAGCUCACUGGGACGGUAUUGACGCUGAGAACGCGGAAAGCAGUGGGGAGCAAACAAGG